GCUGCUUCCUAUGGUACGGUGACUGAAGAUUUCCGGAACCAAAUUGGUAUAAUUUACAGAAGAAGACGACCCGAAAGCAUCACCAGAGAUACAAAAUGUUCUAAAGAGGAAAAAAAUCCUCACAAAAAUCAAAGAUCUGAUCUUCCUAAAACAUUCUAGUUUUUAAGCUAAUACUCAGUUUUUUUUUUUCUUUUUGAGGAUUCGAGAUGAGAGAGGGAAUCGUUUGAGUCUAGCAGCAAGCAAGAGAGUUAGCUGGAAUCGCUCCCUUUCUACCAGUAGGCAACAUUUGAUUGGUGGGCUUCCAAUCUAACUAGGUGCGAUUUGCAUUUGGGGCAGAGCAGAAAUGGAACCCGCAAUAAGUGGGCAUCUACUUUCCUGCUUUUCCCACCCCAAAUCACGAGUGGGUAUGUACAGGAAGUUAUUUUCUCAUGCCAAUGGAAAGACUGAAGAGUUAUGGAAUUGCUGGAGUAUUAUCGUACAGGCCGUUGAAUACUGUCUACUAUAUCACGACAUUUCUCUUGGUUUGGUUAGUGGAUAAUAGAACUUCUUUUUCAUUAAGUGUUUUUGUUUGAAAUAGAAAAUUGAGUUCUCAGAUUAUGUUUUUCGGGUUUGUGUUUGCCGUGUCAUAGUUUUGUUAGCUUGAUGCUGUGUUUCUCCAUACUAUUUACAUGGUUAAAUGCCACUGCUUUUUAUAUGAAUUGCAUGCAUUCCAUUUUAGGACAUAUGGAUGGUUACCCGGUCUCUCUAACUGGUUAAAUGCCACCUUGAUCUAAUUUAUUUGGACAUGAAAACUUAUCUCAGUGUUGGCCAUGUAGAUCUUGUGAACCUAGUCAGCUAGAUGGCUAAUAAUAAUGAGGAAGUCCUGCACAUUAUCAGUAUUCUGUACAUCUGGGUCCCACAAUUCAAUUGAUCCAUAUCUAUUGUUCUCAUGAUGCCUCAAUAGAUGAUGAGGUAAGCCCCAAAAAUAUCCAAGAUUGAUAGGUACUAACUCUUUGAUAUUUGGACAACUUUCUGCUCAGUGUGGACCUUUGCCAUAUUUUCCUCUCAACUCUUUGUUAAGUUAUUGGAUAGAAUCAGAAGUUCAAGCAUAUCAACAGUCAGGACCACCGAAUGAUGGCUUCCAUGUGUACACAAUCCUGUACAUGUGGUUUCUGUAAUAUCAUGAACAUUUGGGGGCCAAUCCGGCGUGGGCUGAUGUGCGGACCAUAUGCUUCCUCCAUAAUAAAUAAGAUUGAAGGUUAUGAGUCAGGCAAAAGAAGAAAUUGAAAAUAGGUUGCAAGGUAUAAAUCAUCAUCAUCAUCAUAGCCUUGUAACAGUCAUUUGGAGCGAGCUUACAAAUCCCGCUUCACCAAUUAUGAGAAUUGAUUGGCAAAACAGGAUUCGUUGAACAAUAUCAUCAUUUCAAUCUGCUAGGAAUGUUGUGUAAUCUCUAGAGGAAUAGGUGUUGAAUAAUCUUGUAUGGAAAGCCAUUAUUGUUCGACCAAUACUUUUUUCCUAUUAAAUAUCAGGACUUGAAAAUCAGGCAUUAUGCGACACUUGGGACAAAAGGGUAUAGUGUUUUGAAUAGCAAAUAAUGUGGAUUGCAGUGUUCACCCCUAUGAACCGUGAAGCAUCUAUAUUUUUAAUUAAAUUGAUAGGAAAAGUAGGCAAAUAUUAAAAUAAAGAAAAAUUAGCAAUAAGUUAUAAAAAAAAUUCUAGAAAAAAAUGCUUGAUUUUCUAGUAAAACCACAUUCAAGACAAAGUAGCAAAAGCUAAACCGACAUAUGUUAAAGCCAAAAUCAAUCACACAAACUAGUUUCUAAACCUACUUUAGGUUAUUUCUUAAUGAAAGACAACAAAAGAUUAAAAAUAUAGUCUCAAACUCUUAACAGGGCACUUGCAAAAGAGCCAAAAGAGAGUUCAGUGUCACAGGUCUUGACUAAUGUAAUAGUUGUCAAGCCGCUUCACAUAUAGACUUAAGGCCUGUUUGGGAGAUGCCUCAAAAUGCAUGAUUCUAAUGCAUAAUUAUUAACUAGAAUGAGAUUAAUUUAUUUUGAGGCAUCUACCAAACAGGCCUUUAGACUCUAGAUUUCAUUUUCCUCAUCUAUAAACUUAUAUUUGCAAGUUAUAAAGGUAAUAAUUUUUGUAUAAUUAAAAAGUCAAACUUGAAAAAGCAUCAUCAAGCUAGGAUGACAUGAUGUCACCAGGUAGUUCUCGUUCAUGCCAGUGUCCUUCACAUAUCUCUAAUCAUGCAUACAAAAGCAUCAUCAAGCUUGCAUUUGUUUUUGUGUAUGGUUCUUUAUUUUUGGCCGGUUCCAAUUAGGACAGUCAACACCAUAUUUUGUCUUAAAACUUCCUUAUUUGUGCUUGUAACAUGCUCCAACAAUUUUGAAGAAUUUUAUCUGGAUGGUCUUUUAGAUAUUUGCACUACAUGUCUCACGUGCUCUCUGUGGCUGUGUAUAACCACUAUAAAAGGAUCUACCAUGCAUCCUUGAACAGGUCUGGGGCAGAAUCGGGGAAUCCUGAGGCAGAAAUUGAUGACAAUGAUUCUGUGGAGCUAGAGAAAAGCAAUGUACUCUUGAUGGGUCCAACCAGCUCUGGAAGCUGGCGUCAAAGUUGAUCUGUUGGGGGAUCUAGAUAUAGAGUCGGAAAGAAAAUUGGGGCAGCUUGUUCUAGAGAAGUAGGAUACCGAGUUCUAUAUACUUCACCGCUAUCCAUUGGCUGUCAGGCCAUUUUACACCAUGCCAUGUUAUGAUGACCCAGCUUACACUCUUUCAUGCCUCACUUACAAAAGGGCCCAUACCUGCAAAAUAUAAGAACUCACCUACAAAGGGUGCUGGGAGAUGACAGUGUUCUAGAUGUCAGGUUUGAGGAGUUGGAUGAAAGCAGACGCGCUUCUCAUAAUGGUUGGUAUCAUCGUAUUGCAAAAGAAGGUAUUCCUGUGGGUUUGUACUGUUAUCAUUUUUUUUUUUGGUAAGUCACAUUGUUCUGUUCUGUUGUAUCAGCUAGGCGGAAUAACAAUAUGAUACAAGGCAUAUCAGACCAUAUCACCUUGAUAUCUUGCAUAAAAAAAUGCAGGAAAAUAUCAGAAAGAAAAAGAAAAUAUCCAAAAGGAAAGGGAAAACAGGAAGAACAUGAAUCUUUCAGUUUAUUAUUAUUAUUAUUAUUAUUUUAUGCAUUUGUGUAUCAGACCAUUCCUUGGUAAUAAUGAUGUUUGUUGGCCUGACCUUUUGGAAUUUUACACACCCAAAACUGGAUGGAUGAAGAUGCUUCAGCAUGCAAGAGCUUGAAGGCAUUUCAAUAUAGGAUAGCUUCCUUAAGGGUGUUUUUUGGUACAUAGAAAUCUUGGCCAUUACUAUGGAAAUGUGAGCUUAUGUUGUUUGGAAAUUCAAUUUUCCGUGGAAAUUUAGUUCCAAUUACAAGUCUCUUUGAUGGAAGAUGCCACUUUUUUCCACAUUGUAGGAGUUGGAAUGUGUGUUUCCUUGGUAACAAACGAAAGCUUCUUUCCAUUACUUUACCAUCUCCAUUCCUCCAUUCUAAGAGCUACUUCCCUCAACGAAAAUCCUGAUGGAGAUCCAAAUGAACAUGGGUUCUCCAUCAAUUACAAUGACUGAAUACAAAUGCAUAACCAUUACAACACCCUUUCUUUAGAGACCAGCUUUUGCAUGCUUUCACAGUCCUCUACCUUGACAGGAAUGCCCCACCCACACUUUGUGGCGCUAUUGAAUCGUGUUAGGAACCGGGAGCUUCCCAACAAAUCCUUUUUUUUUUUUUUUAACAUUGUUAGACCAUCUAAUCAUUUUUUUAGUAAGGGAAAUGUUGGUAAUGUUUUCUUAGGAGAAAAGGAAAUUAACGUUGUAUUCUCUUUG